UAGGGAAUAUUGGACAAUGGGGGCAACCCUGAUCCAGCCAUGCCGCGUGAGUGAAGAAGGCCCUCGGGUUGUAAAGCUCUUUUGUCCGGAAAGAAAAGCUUCGGGUUAAUACCCCGGGGUUCUGACGGUACCGGAAGAAUAAGCACCGGCUAACUUCGUGCCAGCAGCCGCGGUAAUACGAAGGGUGCAUGCGUUCCUCGGAAUUACUGGGCGUAAAGCGUGCUUAGGUGGUUGUUUAAGUCUGAUGUGAAAGCCCUGGGCUCAACCUGGGAAUGGCAUUGGCAAAUGGGCAGCUAGAGUGCGGUAGAGGGUAGUGGAAUCCCCGGUGUAGCAGUGAAAUGCGUAGAGAUCGGGAGGAACAUCUGUGGCGAAGGCGACUGCCUGGACCAGCACUGACACUGAGGCACGAAAGCGUGGGGAGCAAACA
rnacentral:rRNA from 1 species